ACUUGUGAGUGAUAAUUCGAUGUUACAGGUCAUUUGAGUAUGCGGUCGGGCGUAAGAGAACCGAAACCGGCAAGUAGGUCACUGUCAAGCGGCAUUCUUUAGUAUUAUCACGUCGCGAUUACGUCUGCGGUGUCCCGAUUAUCAUCUGGCUCGUUAAUCACAAUGACAAAUAAAGUUAUUGGACUUAAUCGCGACAACAGACCUGUAAGAACUGAUGGGCCACUACUACUUGGCGGGGCCUGACGUGCCACCGCUGAGAUUCCACAGCACAGCUCUUUCCUCCUACUCGACCGUUUACGGCAGCCGGCUGCGUGGUUCGAUGAGCUUCGUGUCCGCAAGUUAUAGAGUGAAAGAAGGCAACAACUCCUUCUACAUCGGGACUCGUCGCCUUGUCGAGCCAUCAUCAACACGUUCAUACACCUCGCCAUCAGCAGCAGCAGCAGCAGCAGCAGCAGCAGCAGCAGCAGCAGCAGCAGCAUCAUCAUCAUCAUCAUAAUCAGCAGCAGCAGCAAGAGCAGGAGUAUGACAAAAGCAUCAAUAUCAACGUCAGGAUCAUUAUCAUUAUCAGCGAAGAUAAAAAGCAAACAGCGUUGACAUCCGAUGAUGUCAUCAGUCGAAUAAUUUUUAUGAGUUAAGAAUCUCGAUAGUCUAAAAAUUAAAUAUUGGUAUCCUACCAAACCCGCUUCAUCAUCCUGGGUAUGUUUGUCAGUGGUUGACGUCAUCAUUUUACGCUUAUACCAUACCACCAACAAAUAACACCACCAACACACCAUUCUAGGAGUGUCAUAAAGAUAGAUUGUGGAUUGCUGUACAAAACUAAUAUAUAUUAUUUGGUAAGAAUAAAACUUAUUUGAAAUUCAGAGAAGAAUAUAUUUUUCAUAUUAUAAUCAUAAAUGUUUAAGAAACAUACUGCUAAAGUAGAGUUCUCAAUUUGUUUAUAUAAUUACGAAAGUUUAAUAGUUUAUGUAAAUUGAUCAAGAUGACUUUACUUAAAUUAAGGCAAUCUCUCUAUCAGCUGUAUUCUUCUUAUCGGCAGAUAAAAUUUAGUGUUGUUUAAUUAGUGUAAGAAUUUGAAUUUAUAAACAAUUAUUAAUUUAAAAACCAAUGUACAAUUUUUGGAAUUAAUUGUUUUCUAUUGCACACUGAAAAUCAAGCAACUGAAAACCGGUAGGAUAAAAGUGCAUUUUAAUAGACAGCUCAUUACUGAUGACUGCAAAAUGAUAAACAUCAAAGUUUUAAUUAUUUAGAUUUGUUGAUGUAUAUUUAUUAUAUCUUAUAUCAAAUUACUCUCUACUAUAUAAUGUGCUCAUAAAUAAAUUGAUCAAUUUUUUUUACUUCAUAGGAAAAAUU